rnacentral:rRNA from 1 species
AAAUUGAAGAGUUUGAUCAUGGCUCAGAUUGAACGCUGGCGGCAGGCCUAACACAUGCAAGUCGAACGGUAACAGGAAGCAGCUUGCUGCUUUGCUGACGAGUGGCGGACGGGUGAGUAAUGUCUGGGAAACUGCCUGAUGGAGGGGGAUAACUACUGUAAACGGUGGCUAAUACCGCAUAAUGUCGCAAGACCAAAG